ensembl:misc_RNA Metazoa_SRP Metazoan signal recognition particle RNA
GCUGGGCUUGGUGGCGCUGGCCUGUAAUCCCAGCUACUCAGGAGGCUGAGACAGGAGAAUCGCUUGAACCCGGGAGGCAGAGGCUGCAGUGAGCCGAGAUUGCACCACUGCACUCCAGCCUGGGCGACAGAGUGAGACUCUGUCUCAA